CUUGGAGCUACAGUGGAAGUUUCUGUGGGAACUAACAGCUGAAUGUGAUGUUCAGUAGGAAGCACAAUUCUGGAAAAUGUGGUUUUUGGUGGGUAGAUCGACAGUGAGAUAUGAUUUGCAGAAAGAACCUCCACAAGAGGACCCACUUUAUGGGAGGGCCCAUUCAUGACCUCUCAAAGUUCCAAUCUACCCAAAAGAAUUACUUAAUAACCCAAUGGAGUACAGACUUUAAUGCAAACAUUGUCUUCCAGGAUCCUUAAUUAAUUGUGCUUCCUUUCAAGGUGUAUGAAAUGAACCUGACAAGAGAUUGAAGAUCGUUGAUAAAUGGGCUUUACAUAAUCAAUUCUAACUGUCCAUAUUUGAAGUUGACAAGAAAUUAUCCCCCCUCCCAUUAAAAAAAAGUUAG